CACGCCCGAGUUGUAAUUUGUAGAGGAUGUUUCGGGUGAAGCCGCGGUCCAAGUCCCUUGGAACAGGACGUCAUAGAGGGUGAGAACCCCGUACCUGGCCGCCGGUGCCCCCCGCUGUGAAACUCCUUCGACGAGUCGAGUUGUUUGGGAAUGCAGCUCUAAAUUGGUGGUAAAUUCCAUCUAAAGCUAAAUACCGGCCAGAGACCGAUAGCGCACAAGUAGAGUGAUCGAAAGAUGAAAAGCACUUUGAAAAGAGAGUUAAAAAGUACGUGAAAUUGUUGAAAGGGAAGCGCUUGCGGCCAGACUUGCCUGCGGUUGCUCAUCCCGCCUUUUGGCGGGUGCACUCUUCCGCAGUCAGGCCAGCAUCGGUUUGGGCGGUCGGAUAAAGGCGCUGGGAACGUGGCCUCCCCUCGGGGAGGUGUUAUAGCCCGGCGCGCAAUGCGACCAGCCCGGACCGAGGUUCGCGCUUUGCUAGGAUGCUGGCGUAAUGGCCGUAAGCGGCCCGUCUUGAAACACGGACCAAGGAGUCUAACAUCUAUGCGAGUGUUUGGGUGUCAAACCCGUGCGCGUAAUGAAAGUGAACGGAGGUGGGAACCGCAAGGUGCACCAUCGACCGAUCCUGAUGUCUUCGGAAGGAUUUGAGUAAGAGCAUAGCUGUUGGGACCCGAAAGAUGGUGAACUAUGCGUGAAUAGGGUGAAGCCAGAGGAAACUCUGGUGGAGGCUCGCAGCGGUUCUGACGUGCAAAUCGAUCGUCAA
rnacentral:rRNA from 1 species